AAAGGGUGGAACUGAAUAGAGAUGAAAAACUGAAGCAUCAGGAAGAGACAGAAGAAGUUCUGGAGGAGACACACGAAGCAGAGAGACAUGAGAAGAAGAUGUGCUUGCUUCUAGGCCUUGUUUUUGUACCAGUGACUUGAGGUCAUGGAAGGAAACACUUGAAAGAGACAGAGACAUGUAGUUAUAAAUGCAGCAAUGAUGGUCAAAGAUCUUCUCAGACUUGAAUGUAGUGUUGUAUUUGGAGCGCAAGCAAUAUAUGAGUAUGUGAGCUACAGAGUUUGCUGGACAUGAACAGAAGCAAGCACACAGCAGCAAGGAAAUGCAAGCCUCAGUCUAUUCAUGAAAAGGAGUAUCAGACAGACCCCAAUGGAGUGCACUUGAAAAGUACCUGACCUGCACCCCUCAACACGUACAAUCAUGAAAAGCAGAAGUAUGAGAAAUCAUCACAGUGAAGAGGCGCCUAAGGAGACACAACAACUCUGGAAUUCUAUUUAGAUCCAUGAUUUGUGUUUGAUGUGGUUUCAAAUAAUCAUCACUGCGGUCCAGCCACAUUUAUGAAAAGGUGGUUAUUCCAAUGCCAAGGGAAACAUGAGUUAACUAUGAGACAUAUAUUGGACAAAAAUCCCACUGAAAGAUUCGGAUGCAACAAGAGAUGAAU